AGGGUUCGAUUCUGGCUCAGGAUGAACGCUAGCGACAGGCUUAACACAUGCAAGUCGAGGGGCAGCAUAAAAGUAGCAAUACUUGGUGGCGACCGGCGCACGGGUGAGUAACGCGUAUGCAACCUACCUAUCAGAGGGGAAUAACCCGGCGAAAGUCGGACUAAUACCGCAUAAAACAGGGGCACCGCAUGGUGAUAUUUGUUAAAGAAAUUCGCUGAUAGAUGGGCAUGCGUUCCAUUAGGUAGUUGGUGAGGUAACGGCUCACCAAGCCGACGAUGGAUAGGGGAACUGAGAGGUUGGUCCCCCACACUGGUACUGAGACACGGACCAGACUCCUACGGGAGGCAGCAGUGAGGAAUAUUGGUCAAUGGGCGGGAGCCUGAACCAGCCAAGUCGCGUGAAGGAAGAAGGAUCUAUGGUUCGUAAACUUCUUUUGCAGGGGAAUAAAGUGCAGGACGUGUCCUGUUUUGUAUGUACCCUGAGAAUAAGGAUCGGCUAACUCCGUGCCAGCCGCCGC
rnacentral:rRNA from 1 species